AUGUGUGUGUGUGUGAUUGUGUGCAACAUAACCGGCUUAUUUACAUUAAAUACGCCACAAGGUUACAGUGCAGAUGAGCGUCAUUUUAUCACUCAUUACUUCUCUCUUAUACUGACUGAUGCUCGCGCUCUCCGCUUAUCUCACUGGACUUUUUUCUCGAGGAUACAAGACUUCAGAUACUUUCCCCAAAAGCUGACAGUGUGUCCCGGUCCUUGGUAUCUCACAGAGUGAAAGACUCAUCGCCGCUGUCAUCGCUUGUUGUCGUACAGACUCAGUGGCGGGGUGAGUCACGGUCUCUUCAACCUGACGGGCCCCGGACCAGUAUGCAGUUAGAGUGAUCAGGUAAGCGAACAUUCACCUCACGGCCCUUCCUCCGGUAGUUGUAACGUGACACCGCUCCUGGACCAGAUAUGGGACGUACGUUUAGCUCGCUGAUCCCAGAUCUGCGCGCUUGAGCGGUCCUUAGAUAAGACGUGAAGCAUGCUCACUUACCCGCUGGUCUCAAAUCAUCAGUGUCAGGAUGAGAUUAACUGAUCCCAGAGUCUGAUCCCUAACAGACAGUCCAUUUGAAGUGGCACGUUUUGUGCUGAACGGUUGUAAUCUUCUCCUGCGAUGUGUCUUUAAGCCGAACACCUAAAUGACAUAUAAAAGCCCAAUUUAGAGCAAUUGCUUCUCCAAUUUGCUCUUCUAUUUGGUUCAAGCCUUUACAGUGACAUGUUUCAUAUGUGGCCACCGUGAAUUUUCUUUUUUGAAGGUCUCAAUACAUAUAAAAGAUAUAUGAUAGGUAGAGGAGACUAGAACUAGUAACUAAGAUUUUGAGAUAAAAGGAUAAUUACAUCUGUGUCUUCUCUAGCAGUAGUUUGUAUGUCAGAUGUAUGUCAGUUUCAUCAAAUCUAAUUAUUUUUAUACAUUUUAUUAUCCAAAUUUAUUACAAAAUGACAAUAACAAUAUGACACAGGGCCUACACUACUUAAAAAAAAUAUUAGUACUUUUAUUCAGGACACAUUAAAUUUGGUCAAAAGUGACAGUACAUUUACAAAAUAUUUCACAUAAAUGAAUUUAAAUGAACUUUUCUACUCAUCAAAGAAUCCUGAACAAGUGUAUUACAGUUUCCACAAAUAUUAAGCAGUACAAGACUGAUUUUUUUUUUUUUUUAAAUAAGAGAAACAUAAUCGAUCAUCUCAAAAUGUUGAAUGGUAGUGUAUAUUCAGACCACAGUAAGCUAUGAAGUGACAAUAGAUUUAAACUGAGAGAUUGAUGUGUUCUCAGUUCUCAUAUAUGUCAGGACAGGGUAAGUUUGAAAUGUUUUAAAUUGUACAAAUCUUUUCAGUUGGUUAUUUAAAAUAUUUGUAGCCCAGAAUAACUGUUGUAUAUUUUUUAUGUUACCUUGUACAUAUUUUUAAUAUUUCAUGGAUUGAAUUUUCACAUUGUUUUACUGUUUAACUUUGCUUAAAUAAUGGCAAAUUUUAUUGUAACAGCUUACUGGUGACAAGCCGAUGACAAGCCUGGGUUUUAAGGAAUACUGAAUGCAUAAACUGACUUUAAAUAAUAAAACCAGCCUGAGAAUAAUCACCGGGCUAAAAAGAAUGAUUAAAAUCUUCAUGAAUUGUAAUGCACUUAGCAUAUAUGGAUAAAAAAUACAAGUGUGAUCAAAAUAAAGAAUGGAAAGAUGCAGUAAGGUUUUUUUUUUUUUUUUUUUUUUUUUUUUUUUUUAAGAGGUAAAAGCAGCCUAUGAGUAAAAAGUCUUCUCCUCCUCCUCCUCCUCCUCCUGAACAAUGCUCCAGCACACUUUUAGAUAGAUUAUAAAUCCCCCUAUGAGAGAGCCUGCAACAGCUGUUGGCAGACAUACUAGAUAUGAGAAUAGCAGCAUAGGAUGAAGGAGCAUUAAAAAUUAAUAUGCUAUUUAGCCUAGGUGUAUUUUAGGUAUUUGACAUUUUCAUGUCCGGGACAGUCUAAAUUUAUUCAUAGUACAGAAAAUAAAAAAAAUAAAAUUAGAAAAAAAGAUUGUGAAGGGGUGGUAGGAGAGCUGUAAGCGGAGGCCGCUUUUUUUAUUUAUUUUUUUUAUGGUCACCCUUUCAUUCAGUAAUGAUAGGUGUUAAGACAUCGUCUAUGGAGGAGACUGGAGCCCAUUAUGGCACGGUAAUAAUUAGCACAUGGCACAAAGGGAACCGUUUGCCUCUUAAGCCUCUGCUUAAUGCUUUUUUGUUGUAUUGUUUUGCUAUUUUUAUUUCUAUUUAUUUUGUUUUCUGGUAUUUUUUCCUUCUCUUUGUGUUUUGUUGAAUGGUUAAAGGAACAUUGUGUGUGUGUGGAUGAGACAGUGAGAGUGGAAAUCCCAGCUUCAGUAGUGAUUAAUUACUAAUACUCCCUCAGAACAUCUCUCUAUCCCUGACUAUCUAAUCACACUGAAAUCUAAGACAUGUCCUGAGAGGAGAAGAGACGAUAGGACUACAUGGACCAUCUCUCUCUCUCUUCAUUGUAACUUUAUCAAUCUCACAAUCUUGCUUCUUUUUCCUUAAAGGAGCAGUCACCCAAAAUGAAUAACUUACCCUCGUGUUUUUUUUUUUUUAAACACAUAUGACUCUUUUUCUGUGGAGCACAAAGGGAGUUAUACUGUAUAUAGCAAAAUGUCCUAGCUGCUCUGUUCCUUACAGUGACCACAGCUGUCAAUAAAGAUUUUCAGUGAAUAGUCUGUUCUUCACAGAAAGCUAUUUUAUAGAAUGAAGCCUUUGGGUUCUGGAAGUUAAAAUCCUAUUCAUUUUCUCCAUAGGGAAUUUUGUUUUUAAUGAUAACUUUUAAAGACAGACCUAUUGUGAGCUACAAGGUUGUUAAUCAAUAGUAUAUGAUUUUUGAAGUAAUUGACUUUAUUUUAACUUUUUUUUCUAUAUAUAUAUAUAUAUAUAUAUAUAUAUAUAUAAAACCAUUUUAUUAGUGGAAUUCAUGGUGAAAAACAAACUAAUCCAUGAUUUUUCCCCAAAAAAUAAUCCACCAAUCACAAAAUCGCAAAGAAUUCCACCCACUCCCAUGAAGUACUGUAAAUGACUUAAUAGUAAAAAAUAUUGACUUGAUGCAGAGCAUAUUAGCCAUAAGGACCACAUUUAUGGAGCGUGAAUUAUACAUAUUAAUUAGCAUUUUUGCUCCUUUUUGGAGCUUGACAGUUCCAGUCCCCAUCUGCUUUCAUUGUAUGGAAAAGAGCAGCUCAGACAUUCUGCUACAUUUCUUCUUUAGCGUUCCACAGAGCAUGUUUGAGUAAAGGAUGUAGGAUUGUAUUUUUAGGAGAACUAUCACUCUAACCACCCUUCUUUUGUUCUCUCAUUCUCUCCAAACUUCUCUAACAUUUUUCCUCUCUUCUGCUAAUUCGCUAUCAGUCCAUAUGUGUCUCGCCUGGAUUUUUGUAACAUGCUCCACUCCCCCUCACUUCUCCCUCUCUCUUUCUCUCCUUCACUCAGGUGUUAUAAACUGUAUAUACAUACACUGUUACUCCCUGAGGUAAUAUUUAGCAAUAGCAUGUUUAACACCACAACCCUCCAGUCACAGAUCCUCACAUCAUGCUUAAAAAACAGAGACGGGUGACAUGUUUCUGAAUCUGCUGCUUUUCUAUCUCUGAAGAAAACAUGGCUUUUAUUUAACAGUUAUAGCUAUUACAGGAUCACAAAAAAAAAGAAAGAAAGAAAAAAAAAACAAUUUCAAGGCAAGGAUAAUUUCCAUAGAUAUCUCUCACUACAAAGAAAGCUGAAAAUCAAAGCGUUGCCGUCAUUUAAAGAAAGACAGAGACUUUUCGAAUGACACUCUUCAUUUUUUUUUUCAGCUGGUGAAGUAUUUGCAUAGCUGAAGUUAGCAGUCUCUCUUGACAGGCUGGGGAGAACAAACAAAACCGCUCUCUCUAGAGACUCUCUCCGCCACGUAGGGUGAUGCAAGCUUACAUAUAUUAACAGCGCGUUGUACGAUCGCUAACUAUCAGAGUGAGCCGUCUAUCCAAAGUCCUCCGUUUCUUCUGUGCCGAGCAGAGAAGUUGGCAGCCCGGUGUCACCGCUGUCAGAGUUGCGUGAAAGUAGCCAUGUUUGAUGUGCCGGAUGUUUGUAGCUGCUCAACGGCUGUGUUUGGACAUGUGUGACGGAGUCCUCGGCCCCUUCGGGUCAGCGUUUGUGCGAGCGUGCGUUUCCCCAUGUGGCGGGAGGGUCAGAGUGUCAGAGUGGAUGUGCCUUUGAGGCUGUAGGGCGGCAGAUUAGCGUCUUUUCUUAUCAUUCAAAUCAAGUCUCCGCUCCCUUUGAAAAAACAUAUUGUACACAUCACCCCCCCUGCGUCGCCCCUGACAACAAUCUGCGACCAUGAUGGCUGCCUCCGAGGAGCUUCCCCGGGCUGGUGGCGAAGAGAGAGCGAGCGAGAGAGACAGAGAGAUCAUCAGGGGAUGGCGGAGGGAGGGGUUGUCCGUCCCGAACCCUCUCCCACAUCAUCAGAGUGUGAUCGCAGCUGGGUAAUUGAUAUAUGGCUGUGGCUGUCUCUUCUCCUCACCCUUGUUAAGGUCAACUUAUCUACAUUUCACCCCUUAUUUCUCCACUCCCAUUAUAUUCCCCGCAGAUAUUGACUGACUGGUGCGGCCUGUCCUCCUGAAAAUAUGAAUUGAGGAUGAAACAAGUGAGCGCUGGCAUAGGGGAAGGGGGGGCGCCUUUAUUCCGGUGCCUAACCCUUGCCUGUUAUCAAAGUAACUUCCAGCUUAUUAGUAACAAAAGGCCUUUUUCUCCUGCUCUCAUCCCUCCCCCUCCUCCUUCCUCCUUUGUGCAGGCCGUGUUCUCUAGCGCUUCCUGAAUUAAACUGCUGGCUUCCUGUUCUUUUAUAUGCAUGGCCACAUCUGGGGGAGCUUGCUCGCAGCCCCGCUGCUUAAUAACAAUCACCUUCCCUUUCAGUCGCCCCUGAUUGUUUCUAAUUCACUCUGACAGAUAGUGGCUGACAAGCCGCCCGUGCCUCCUCCCUCCGUGACCCCGGCUCACUCACCAUACUUAUACCGCCUGUCAUUUUUAAUAUUUGAUUUCGCUUUUAAAGUUAUGUGUUUUAGUCCAGUGAUGAAAUCA
rnacentral:lncRNA from 12 species